rnacentral:lncRNA from 1 species
AAUAUGUACCCCAGUAGGGUUACAACAAGUUCAAUGCUCCAUUUACAGCUUUUCGAGUCUCACUUUAUUCCAUGAAAUUCCGUGCUCCACGUGUCAUAAAUUUAUGCUCAGCCAACAGGUUCGCAGAACGAGCCCAUGCAAAAACAAAAAUAGCCCAAGUUUCAUAUUAAUUCACCACCAACAAAUUAACUCAAAUUUCAUAUUAAUUCAACAAUUCAAAAAUAACAAACAACAAUUACUAGUAUA